AUUGAACGCUGGCGGCAUGCCUUACACAUGCAAAUCGAACGGUAACGGGCCUUCGGGUGCCGACGAGUGGCGAACGGGUGAGUAAUACAUCGGAACGUGCCCGAUCGUGGGGGAUAACGAGGCGAAAGCUUUGCUAAUACCGCAUACGAUCUACGGAUGAAAGCAGGGGACCGCAAGGCCUUGCGCGGACGGAGCGGCCGAUGGCAGAUUAGGUAGUUGGUGGGAUAAAAGCUUACCAAGCCGACGAUCUGUAGCUGGUCUGAGAGGAUGAUCAGCCACACUGGAACUGAGACACGGCCCAGACUCCUACGGGAGGCAGCAGUGGGGAAUUUUGGACAAUGGGCGCAAGCCUGAUCCAGCCAUGCCGCGUGCAGGAUGAAGGCCUUCGGGUUGUAAACUGAUUUUGUACGGAACGAAAAGCCUUCUUUUAAUACAGGAGGGUCAUGACGGUACCGGAAGAAUAAGCACCGGCUAACUACGUG
rnacentral:rRNA from 1 species